UCUGCAGGCUGUGAGUUGAACUGCUCUGGGCAAAGCUUGCUUUCCCCAGCAUGAAAAGUGCAUCACUCAUACGUUUCAAAUUGCAGUUAAAGAUGGCCUGAAAUCAACCGAUUACCCAUCAACAAAGCUAUCCCUAAAGCAUCAAACAUCGUUUCUCAGUAGGCUACUGUAAAUCUUCUUUAGCACAGGAUCUGGCAGAAUCAUCUUCAGCCAGCAAGUCUGACGUGGUGAAAAUGCUUUGUUCUGUUCUCAGUGCUGAUGAUGAGAAGCUGGAUGAGUGGCCCAUCACAAAGCUUUCCACCUCGGAAAAAUUUUUCCUCCCACACCGGAAGACAUGCAGUUGAGAUUGGCAUACUCCUGCCAUUGCCCUUGACCAAGGCACUGGCCUCCGAACUGGAGUUGGUCCCCGGGCACUGCACUGUGGCUUCCCACUGUUCUUACGUAACUUGGAUGGGUCAAAUGCAGAGGAAAAAUGACCCCACGGGGAAUAUCUCCCAAACAGACUAUCUCUGCUGGACCUCUCCCAUCCCUGGGUGAUGCUACAGCUAACUUUGCAUUGCCUGGCAGGGCUGUGAGAUUUGAUACCAUACCAUGAAAUCUGUCCAUGCAUUGAAAAUGUAUUUUGCAAAUCUUCAACAUAUGACAAUAUCAUCAAGGAGUGUCACCUGAAAAAAAUCAUCACAGAAAUAAAGACAUUUGGUGAGCCUGCUAGGGUUUCUAAAGGUUGACUGAUGAUAGUUUAAAUGAAAGACAAGAACUUUAUUUUUGUUGUUGCAUUUCUGUCAUAUUGAUGACAAGACCUUAUCAAAAUAUUUUCAUCUCACCCCUCUUACGUUUACAGAUGACUGUUUUGUGUUGACGCAGUAAUUAUGUAAGGAUUAAUUCAGUGUGCUUGCAUCCCAGAUUAAUUAAAUUUGCUGCAUGUUUUAUGCCCCCUCCCUCCAUUAUUUCUGAAUUAUAAUAUUAGGCGAAACACUGUCUUAACUUCUUUUGGCUCCUGUCUGCACAUUUUUAAUGAACUGGCAAUGUCGCAUUUUCACAGAGCACUGUGCAUUAAUUAGUUUCAUUGGUUGUGAGAUUUGCAUGGCAUGACUAUUUUGUGAACCCUUUCUCUGCAGUUGCAGUUGACUUUGUUUUGCUGAUAGUGACAUUUGGAGUAUCUAUUUGUAUUAUACAUGUCUGACUGACUCUGAAUUCAAUAAUGCAAUAAUGAAGGGGUGGAUUCACCAGCUUGGAGUGGUUAUUUGUCACAAUAAUUCUUAAGUAUCUAAAAUUGGCUUGGCGAAAAUGCUACAUUAAAAUAGAACAGUAACAAUUAAUUCCCAAUAAUAUGUUGAUGGAAUGACUACGAAUUGAACAUGCACUGUACCGUAGUUUAAUUAUGAGCUGUCCAGUCUGUAAGUUGUGAUAAUUUUAUAGCAUUGCCACGAUAAAUGUGAAUUUGUGAAUCAGCUGACAUGUUGAUAUAUUUGAUGAUAUAUUUAUUCUAAAGCCUUGCAUUUCACAUUCUAAAGCAGUGGGAUUUCACACGUUGAUUUUGAUUUUAAAUACACUCGGAAAUAUAGGUCAUAAAAUGAAUUAUCUUGGUGUGUUUGUGUGGGCGAAUUUGUCAUUGAGAGAAAUUAUAUAACGACUUAUGAAAUGGCACAUAGAAAUGGACAGAUUUUAGCAUAAGAAAAAUUGCGGCCUUGAAUAUGCAACUUGAUGCCUCUCUUCAGAACACAGCCUGGACUGUAUGCAUAUUAGUAGUAUUUUUAAAAAUGUAUUUUAAAAACCAUUUUUACCCAGAUGAGUUCCACUGAGAUUAAAACAUAUAGUUAGAAGGUAGCAGCAUGUACGAGUAACAUUAUUAAAGCACGUAAAUUAACAGAACAGAUUACCUUACACUAAACUGUUCUGUGCAUGAGAAGCAUCAGACACAGUGCAAAUCGAACAUAUGUAUAUACAGUAUAUAUUUUUAAUGAAUACAUCUAUCACAAUAUAAAAACCAAUCCUGUGGCACACUUACAGUAUGUUCCUUCCCAGUUUCAAUGGUGAAAAGGGAAGAAUGGUAAAUGGACUGCAUUCAUAUUGUGCAUUUUCCAUCAACAACUGCACAAACCGCUUUACAAUGAAUGCCUCACAUUCACACACACCAAUAGGGAGCAAGACAGUCAUGCAGAGCUCAAGCCAGCUCAAUGGGGGGUUGGGUGUCUUGCUUAAAGACACUUCAACCCACUCAGAGGACCGGGGAUCGAGCCGACAACCUUCCAGUUGCCAGACGACUGCUCUACCUCCUGAGCUGCUCAAUCUGUGGACAUCUCUCACAGCACAUUAAUUCACAUUCACUGUAUCUGCAGAAAGAACUUCUUGCAAUAAGAUGCAUUAUACAACAAAAAACUCUGCUACCUGUUGCCCUGUAAGCUAUCAUAUGACAGUAAGCCUGACUUUUUACUUUUUUGCCAUAGCAUGUCUCAUUGAAGUGAAUAUCUAGGUUCAGUUGAAACAUUUUUAAAAAUCUGAGUCAGAAUAUGUGCUGUGAUUUUGUUGAUAUUUCAGACACACUGGGAUUCUUUUGAAAGCAUACUCUUGCCAUCAAUAGUUGAAACUGUUAAAAUAAAACAUAGAAUAUGUUUUUGAAGUGGGUGGCUACCUUAAAAUUUGCAAGGAUUAAAGUCCUACUAUUAUGGCGGCCCCUUGGUCCAUGCUCACUGCAGCCAUUGUGAAAGUCCUGUUUGCUGACAGAUUGGUUCUGCUGGGUCUGAGGCUGUGAUCCUGGUGCUGUGGAUAAAUUGUUUGCCAAUAAAAGAACUGGAAAGCUGUGGGUCUGUAUUGAUCUCAUUCGGUAUACCAAUGUCUCAAUGUGUCCUACCUGGGCUGUGUUUAAACCACUG